rnacentral:lncRNA from 1 species
GCCAGGUGUCACUGCAGGGUGCCGAACCGCCGCGCUCCGCCCGCGCCUUUCCGCGGCUCGAGCUGCGGGCUGCGCUCCUCCGGGCCGGGCCGGGCCGCGGGCGCCCAGCAGAGCUCUGCUCCGCACCCACCGCGCGGGGGAGGUGUGCGGUGCGGCUGCCUCACCUUGGAGCUCCCCUUUCCCCGUCAGCCCUGCCCGUCAGCCCCCCCACGCCCUGAUGCUGAAGGCAUUGGCCUUAAGUGGGUCGCCUCUCUCUCAUUGUUGGCCCUUCCCAAUACGCCUAAUUAUUUUUUUGCUGGGACCGCAAAUCUCAGUGUCUGCCGACGGGCUUUCAGCAGUGCCAGAGCCCUCCGCCUCCCCUCCCCUCUGCCCAGCGAGCUUUCUGCUCCUUCCUUCCGACUCCCGUUGUUAGAGAUCAGACAGCGACUUCGCUGGCCUGGGAGAAACUGGGGCUAGAGCCUCGCGCUUGGUUAUAAUCCAAUUAUACUUCUGAAAACUGCAGCAGCAGAAAGCGAGUGCUGGUGGGGUGCCGUCCUUUUGUCUGCGAGCCUCAGUGAAAUAUUGCGUUACAGCUUGUUCGUGGAGCUAUUAUGCUGAAAAGGCCGAUAUUUAUAGGCUAUUGUGGGAGGCUGGGCGUUGGUGCGGGAGCCCCAUCAGCACAGCACGCGGGGGCACGGCGGCUCGAAGCGGGGCCGGGGCUGCUGCAGGACGGUGUCUGCACGUGGGCUGCCCCAGCCCCGUCCUGCAGAACCAGGCUGAAUUGUCGGUGCCGUUCCUGUUCCGUGGAUUGUUCUCAUUCGAAGAGAAGAGAUGGAGCUCUCUGCAUCCUGCUGCCAUAGGAAGGGCAGAGCAGGGUGCCGGGUGCCGCGGCCCCGGGCUUGGUUUGGCUGUGCCGUGGCACUGGGCAGAGCUCAGGGCUGGACAGGAGCUGCAGGCAGGGGGGGUGCUGGGUGUCUGCUGGGGGCUCGGGGCUGAAUUUAGGUGCUGGGCAGUGCUUUUGGGUUUUGAUUCACAGCGCUUUACGUCCGACGUGCAAAACAUCUCCGUCAGCCUGAUUCCUUAUGCUGAUGCUUUCCUUGGCAGGGUCUGGUUGGCAGCCCCAGGUGUUGCUUCAGCUGCCCCGGCUCUGUGUUGGGCUCUCCCCUGUCUGCCCGUGAUGGGCAGUGCCCCGUGCAGGGGCCGGGGCCGCCCUCGUUGUCCCAGCGGCCGCAGGAGCCUCACAUUUGAUCUUUCACUCAAAUUAGCAGUGCGCUUGGGAUGUGUGUGUGUGCCUCGCCGGCAUGAGAUGUCGGGAGUAAAUAAACAAAGCUCUGCUUUCAAAGGCUUUCACGAUUCAUUAACUUCAAAGGAGCGGGUGCUCAGUUUCCCUAGCAGGUCGCUGUGUUUCCCUAGCAGGUCGCUCGCUGCAGCUCACUCUGGCUGCUGGAGGUGCCUGGCUGCUCUCUGGCCUGGUGCAAGCACUUUGCAUUGGCCACGAGCUCUGCACAAGCCUCCCCAUCCCCUUCCCGAGGCACAGCCCUGCUGCUUCCCGUGGGUGAGCAUGGCUGCACUUCUGUCCC